AUAUCGCACCGACUCUCCUACACCUCGCUGCUCUGCAUAUCAAUGUUCACUUUCCCUUUCUUGCCCCUCAGACUCAAUGUGUUUCUCCUGCAGGAGGUUCCCAGGCAGGGAGAGGCCAGGAUGGGGUUGCAGACCAGGGAGAGAGUUACAAGUUCAAGUGCAAGAUUACAUGCUCCUUACCAAGAGGACGCGCUGAGAAUAAAGUACAGUAACCAAGCCGAGAGGAGUCAUCUGUAUGCUCCUGUAACAUUAACAGCACAUUGAUCCCAAAUGAGAGAAAACGUGAACAUGUGAAUAAAUCCACCCCUCUGCUUCCUUUUCACUGCCACUCUCCUUCUCUCUCCCUCCCACUAAAAGAUAUUCUUUCUGAAGCCACCCCCCUUCUCUCUCUCUCUCUCUCUCUCAAUCUGUCCUGUAUCCUUCACUCUCUCCUACUUAUGCACAUACUAAUAAACACCACUUUUCUUCAUCUCACAUCAGGUCGUCUUUUAGCGCACCGCUUUAAGAGCAUCUAGUAUUGCGGUUUCACCCGACGGGUGGAGAAACCGGCUCAAUGCGGCUCUCUCUCUCUAAGCUGUGUAUCACACACUGGGAUAGCCUGUUUCUCAUUGAGAGGCCCUUUUUUUUCUUUUUUCUUUACUUGUAACACACAAGUCCCGCUCUCUUUACGGUGCAGGUUUCCCUCCCCCUCCCCUUCUUCUCUACACUUAUCUGUAAAGAAAGGAGGGAAGCGGAAGAGAGAGGUGUCUGUGAAGAGGAAUGAUGAAAAGGCACAGAGAGAGAGAGAGAGAGAGAGGGAAGGAGGGGGUAAAAGAAGAGAGCAGGACUGAGCAGAGUGGACUAGCAGAAACCUGAAAUAUGAGAGGGAGAAGAGUAAAGUAGGAGAGAAACCCGUGCGAGGAGAAACGAGGGAUGGCUGACCUGGAAGUGGGCAAAAUCGUGGGAAGAGAAGCCACCGUUUAAUUCCAACACUUGCUGGAGCUGGUUUGCAUCCUCCUCCUCAGGGACUACAGGUGUUCACUUCAUAUGAUAUGCCGCUCAAAGGAGGCCAGCUGGUCAGCGAUCAGGUUUCAACCAAACUCCUGGAUAUUUGGGGAAAAUUGGAUUACUUCCCGAUACUGUGCUCUCCUGAAGCAGAUGAGGUUUUACUGAAGCUCCUGGUUGAAUCGUGCGGAGGAUAAUGCCAUGGCUUACAGCCUCUGCGGUGGAACAUAUUGCAGUAAAAGUACCCAUCAACAACACCCCAUGGUUUUAUUAUGACUGACACAACACAGUUUGGUGCAAACAUUAUGUGUUUACUGCUCUCUCUGCACCUUCACAGCCUGAAGGAGGUGAGGGUGAAAAUCUGAACAGCGCAAUGCAGUCAGAGCCCUU